AUUGAACGCUGGCGGCAGGCCUAACACAUGCAAGUCGAGCGGAGCGGCGGACGGGUGAGUAAUGCCUAGGAAUCUGCCUGGUAGUGGGGGAUAACGUCCGGAAAAGGGCGCUAAUACCGCAUACUCUCAGCUGAGCAUCGGUCGGAUUAGCUAGUUGGUGGGGUAAAGGCCUACAAAGGCGACGAUCCGUAACUGGUCUGAGAGGAUGAUCAGUCACACUGGAACGGAGACACGGCCCAGACUCCUACGGGAGGCAGCAGGGGGGAAUCUUGGACAAUGGGCGAAAGCCUGAUCCAGCCAUGCCGCGUGGGUGAAGAAGGUCUUCGGAUUGUAAAGCACUUUAAGUUGGGAGGCGUGACCAACAGAAUAAGCACCGGCUAACUUCGUGCCAGCAGCCGCGGUAAUUC
rnacentral:rRNA from 1 species